UGCCUUCCGCUAACUCCCAACCCCUGUGACAUACCACUUGUUGCCUCGGCGGAUCAGCCCGCUCCCGGUAAAACGGGACGGCCCGCCAGAGGACCCCUAAACUCUGUUUCUAUAUGUAACUUCUGAGUAAAACCAUAAAUAAAUCAAAACUUUCAACAACGGAUCUCUUGGUUCUGGCAUCGAUGAAGAACGCAGCAAAAUGCGAUAAGUAAUGUGAAUUGCAGAAUUCAGUGAAUCAUCGAAUCUUUGAACGCACAUUGCGCCCGCCAGUAUUCUGGCGGGCAUGCCUGUUCGAGCGUCAUUUCAACCCUCAAGCACAGCUUGGUGUUGGGACUCGCGUUAAUUCGCGUUCCUCAAAUUGAUUGGCGGUCACGUCGAGCUUCCAUAGCGUAGUAGUAAAACCCUCGUUACUGGUAAUCGUCGCGGCCACGCCGUUAAACCCCAACUUCUGAAUGUUGACCUCGGAUCAGGUAGGAAUACCCGCUGAACUUAAGCAUAGCAAAAGCCGGGGGGAUAAC
rnacentral:rRNA from 1 species